AACACAUGCAAGUCGAACGAUGAUGCCCAGCUUGCUGGGUGGAUUAGUGGCGAACGGGUGAGUAACACGUGAGUAWCCUGCCCCUGACUYUGGGAUAAGCGUUGGAAACGACGUYUAAUACUGGAUAUGAUCWCUGGCCGCAUGRUSUGGUGGUGGAAAGAUUUUUUGGUUGGGGAUGGACUCGCGGCCUAUCAGCUUGUUGKUGAGGUAAUGGCUCACCAAGGCGACGACGGGUAGCCGGCCUGAGAGGGUGACCGGCCACMCUGGGACUGAGWCACGGCCCAGACUCCUACGGGAGGCAGCAGUGGGGAAUAUUGCACAAUGGGCGAAAGCCUGAUGCAGCAACGCCGCGUGAGGGAUGACGGCCUUYGGGUUGUAAACCUCUUUUAGUAGGGAAGA
rnacentral:rRNA from 1 species